UUACAAUUUUGCUGGUUUUCUUUAUUGCUUUUCCAAUUUAUUGUUCACCAAAACUUACAAAAGAAGAGAAAGUUGACCUAUUGAUCAAUUUUAAUUUUGCUUAUUGUCUUGCAAAAAAUUAGUUUUUCCAUCUGAUAACAUUUUAAAAAUGAUUAGCUGAUUGACACAAGAAGAUUAUAUAAUAAAUAGUUAUUAACUUAAACAUUAG
rnacentral:misc_RNA from 1 species